GGAGCCGUAAUUCCAGCGUACUUGUUAAGACGUUAACAAAACAUGUAAAUGAUUGUAUGAAUGGGUCUAUGUAGAGUGGAAACCUAACGGUGCUAACGCAAACUCUACGCUUGACCAUUGUCCCUAAGCGCAUUUAACUCCUUAGUGGGAGUCGCGGGGAUUGUCCUGUUUGUCUUGUUUGUUCGACGUGGGUUUGGAUCAAAGUUGAGAGGUUGGUUUGUUGGGACAGCUACAUCCGCAGAAAACUAGUUUCUGUAGAAGCCUGGUGUAGUCGAUGAUCCCUGCAGACAUUGUGACCGAUCGUUGAUCCUGACCAGAAAAGAGUUUACACUUGAAUAACAAAAAGAUUGUUCAGAAUGGGUAACGGGAAAAGCAAACCUGCCACCAUGGAGGGUGACUCCAAGUACAUGGAGAAAUUUUCACCUGGCAGUACUAGAUUUUUGAAACUGUGGGAAAAGAAGUACGGGUUUGAGGGGAAACUGAUUUACGGUCCGUGUGAGAAACUAGUUGAGAGAUUAAAGGUUGAAGCUCUUAACACUCGCAGAGCCCAAAACAAAGAAAAACACCUGCAAUUGUUGGAGGCUGUGAAGUGGCGAGAGCAAGCGUUUAAGCGGAGACAGGAUAUUCAGAAAAAAUUAGAUAUGAAGCGUGAACGGCUUGCCCUAGAGGCAGCUGUUGUGGUGAAGCCAGACGAGGAAACCGUCUGUGCUUGUGAAGGUGCGAGAAUUAGUGAAGAGAGAAGACAGAGAUCAGAUCGUAAAUCUGAAAUCGAAGAAAAAGUGCUCGAAUGCCAGAGAGCAGUAGAAAAACUGGACAUUAAUGAACGUGCAGCUGCUAGAGCUGACCCCAUAGCCAAACAUACCAGAACAGCUCACAAAGGUGAACUUCACUCCUUACUGUUAGGAGAACCAACACAUUAUCCUGAUCUGAAACCCCUCAAACAACAAUAUAACAUAGUUGACAGAAAUUAUGAUUGUCCUGCUCCCAAUCCACCCAUCCCAGGGGGAACAAACGGAGAAUUCUACCCCCUCGUAGAGGUUGCAAAUCCGCAUUUUGGGGCAACGACAGCCUCAGGUGCUUAUGAUAACAAAGAGACAAUUUAUGUCUUCCGACCCUAGACCGAA
rnacentral:lncRNA from 1 species